UACCUGCAGCUCGAGUGGUAACCGCUUUUAUUGGGCCUAAAGCGUCCGUAGCCGGUUUGGUAAAUAUCUGGGUAAAUCGUGAGGCUUAACUUCACGAAUUUCGGAUAGACUGCCAGACUUGGGAUCGGGGGAGGUCAGAGGUACUCCAGGGGUAGCGGUGAAAUGUUGUAAUCCUUGGAGGACCACCGGUAGCGAAGGCGUCUGACUAGAACGAGUCCGACGGUGAGGGACGAAGCCCUGGGGCGCAAACCGGAUUAGAUACCCGGGUAGUCCAGGGUGUAAACAAUGUGGGCUUUGUAUUGGAGGUCCUACGUGGGCGUCCAGUGCAGAAGAGAAGUUGUUAAGCCCACCGCCUGGGAAGUACGGUCGCAAGGCUGAAACUUAAAGGAAUUAGGCGGGGAGCACAGCAACGGGAGGAGCGUGCGGUUU
rnacentral:rRNA from 1 species